rnacentral:rRNA from 1 species
CCUACGGGAGGCAGCAGUAGGGAAUCUUGGACAAUGGGCGAGAGCCUGAUGGAGCAACGCCGCGUGAGUGAAGAAGGUCUUCGGAUCGUAAAACCCUGUUGUUAGAGAAGAAAGUGCGUGAGAGUAACUGUUCACGUUUCGACGGUAUCUAACCAGAAAGCCACGGCUAACUACGUGCCCGCAGCCGCGGUAAUACGUAGGUGGCAAGCGUUAUCCGGAUUUAUUGGGCGUAAGGGGAAUGCAGGCGGUCUUUUAAGUCUGAUGUGAAAGCCUUCGGCUUAACCGGAGUAGUGCAUUGGAAACUGGGAGACUUGAGUGCAGAAGAGGAGGGUGGAAUUCCAUGUGUAGCGGUGAAAUGCGUAGAUAUAUGGAAGAACACCAGUGGCGAAAGCGGCUCUCUGGUCUGUAACUGACGCUGAGGUUCGAAAGCGUGGGUAGCAAACAGGAUUAGAUACCCCUGUAGUC